GUCUAAGUACAUGCCGUAUUAAGCCGAAACCGCGAAUGGCUCAUUAAAUCAGUUAUUGUUUCCUUGGAUCAUACCUUACUACUUGGAUAACUGUGGCAGUUCUAGAGCUAAUACAUGCAGCAGAGCUCCGACCCUCUGGAGACGAACGCUUUUAUUAGAUCAAAACCAAUCGAACCGCGUCUCCGUAUUAUGUGGUGACUCUGUAUAACUUUGAGCUGAUCGCAUGGGCUCGUCCUGGCGACGUAUCUUCCAGGUGUCUGCCUUACAACUGUCGAUGGUACACUCUUAGACAAAAAAAAAGUCGCAUCAAGGAAGAG
rnacentral:ncRNA from 1 species